rnacentral:rRNA from 1 species
UACGAGGGGGGCGAGCGUUGUUCGGAAUUAUUGGGCGUAAAGGGUGCGUAGGCGGUUCGUUAAGUCGGAUGUGAAAGCCCUCGGCUCAACUGAGGAAGUGCACCCGAAACUGGCGAGCUUGAGUACGAAAGAGGAUCGCGGAAUUCCCGGUGUAGAGGUGAAAUUCGUAGAUAUCGGGAGGAACACCGGUGGCGAAGGCGGCGAUCUGGGUCGAUACUGACGCUGAGGUGCGAAAGCGUGGGGAGCAAACAGGG